rnacentral:rRNA from 1 species
CUGGCAGCGCGCCUAACACAUGCAAGUCGAACGGAGCUGCACUUCUGAAGUUUCGGAUGGACGAGGUACAAGCUUAGUGGCGAACGGGUGAGUAACACGUGAAGAACCUGCCCUUCAGUGGGGGACAACAGUUGGAAACGACUGCUAAUACCGCAUAAGACCACAGUACCGCAUGGUACAGUGAUCAAAGGAUUUAUUCGCUGAAGGAUGGCUUCGCGUCCGAUUAGGGUAGUUGGUGAGGUAACGGCCCACCAAGCCUACGAUCGGUAGCCGGACUGAGAGGUUGAUCGGCCACAUUGGGACUGAGACACGGCCCAGACUCCUACGGGAGGCAGCAGUGGGGAAUAUUGCACAAUGGAGGAAACUCUGAUGCAGCGACGCCGCGUGAGGGAAGAGGGUCUUCGGAUUGUAAACCUCUGUCUUCAGGGACGAUAAUGACGGUACCUGAGGAGGAAGCACCGGCUAACUACGUGCCAGCCGCCGC